UUAUUUCUUCUACAGAAGCCAAAAGUCACUAUGUAUCUUUUGGUAUAUGUCGAUGAUAUUAUCCUUGUCAGCUCUUCUCAGUAUGCUGCUGAUGCUCUUGUCUGCUCUCUUGGUGCUGAUUUUGCGGUCAAAGAUCUUGGGAAGCUUCACUACUUUCUUGGAGUUGAGGUCACUUCUCGUGCUACUGGUCUUGUCCUUACGCAGAAGAAGUACUCCUUGGAGUUGUUACAGAGAGCUGGCAUGCUGAAGUGCAAACCGACCACCACACCCAUGUCGUCUACCGACAAGAUAACAGCUGUUGAUGGUGAGCUUUUGUCUCCUGCGGAUGCCACAGAGUACAGGAGCAUUGUUGAUGGACUUCAGUACUUGACGAUCACGAGACCAGAUAUCUCUUAUGCUGUUAAUAGGGUUUGUCAGUAUCUUCAGGCUCCCAGAGAUACUCAUUGGGCUGCUGUUAAACGCAUUCUUCGUUAUGUUCAGUUCACCCUGACAUUUGGUAUGCAUAUUCGGCCGACUUCCUCUUGGGUCCUUUCGGCCUUCUCUGAUGCAGAUUGGGCUGGUAGCCCAGAUGACAGGCGAUCCACGGGGGGUUAUGCAGUAUUCUUUGGCUCUAAUUUGAUCGCCUGGAGUGCUCGGAAACAGGCUACUGUGUCACGUAGCAGUACUGAAGCUGAGUACAAGGCUGUGGCUAAUGCUACUGCAGAGAUUAUUUGG
rnacentral:rRNA from 1 species